rnacentral:lncRNA from 1 species
CCGGGAACCCCGAACAUCCCCUUUCUCUACUCUUUCCCUUUGGAGUCUAUAGAGGGAGAAGCAGAGCCUAAGGCUUCAUCAGUUUGAAUACUGGCUGGGGCUGGGCAAGUUAGUGGCUCAAAGUGUUGAAUCUGUCCCUAAAGCAGGGACAGAAAUGGAGGCUCAGGAGGUAGAGGUGGCAGUGGGCGUGCAGGAGAAGCUGUAGGUCAGGAGGUAGAGGUGGCAGUGGGCGUGCAGGAGAACUGUAGGUCAGAGUGGAGAGGUGGCAGUGGGCGUGCAGGAGAAGCUGUAGGUCAGGAGGUAGAGGUGGCAGUGGGCGUGCAGGAGAAGGUGUAGGUCAGGGGGCAGAGGUGGCAGUGGGCGUGCAGGAGAAGCUGUAGGUCGGGAGGUAGAGGUGGCAGUGGGCGUGCAGGAGAAGCUGUAGGUCGGGAGGUAGAGGUGGCAGUGGGCGUGCAGGAGAAGCUGUAGGUCGGAGAGGGUGCAGAGUGGAGAACAGAUGAGCUGGAGUCACACCAUGCCCUAUACCCAGCCAGAGGCCGAAGUGAGCCUGUCACGGUAAUGCCACUGCCUGCUUGAUUCCCUCCCAUGCCUAGCCUGGGUUCUUCAUGAUCCCUGAGGCCCUCUUUGAUGUCAUCCCGCUGCCUCAAAACCUGUGUGUGCUGGUGGCUCCCUCUGCUUUCCUUCCAGAUGACUCCUUCGCUUCAGCUCAAAUGUCACCUUUGGCUGUUAAAAUCCUUUCCGGAGGAAGUUGUAAACAAUGCCUACCCCUCCUCCCGAGGUCUCUGAUUCCACUCCAGGGAAGAUUGCUCUGGGGGAGCCAAUGAGUUUGUUGGGAUUACUUCCAGAGCAUAGGUGAGGGGUUAGUUACUUGAAUAUGAGUGCUGCCCACCAAAAGACCGCACUGAAAAGUCUUUACCCAGCAGGGGUGAUGGU